rfam:Triticum aestivum genome assembly, contig: Triticum_aestivum_CS42_TGACv1_scaffold_220701_3B
GAAGUACUCCCUCCGUCUGAAAAUACUUUUCAUCAAAAUGGAUAAAAGGAGAUGUAUCUAGAACUAAAAUACGUCUAGAUACAUCCCCUUUUAUCCCUUUUGAUGACAAGUAUUUCUGGACGGAGGGAGUAUGAA